rnacentral:rRNA from 1 species
UACGUAGGGUGCGAGCGUUGUCCGGAAUUAUUGGGCGUAAAGAGCUCGUAGGCGGUUUGUCGCGUCGACUGUGAAAACCCGAGGCUUAACCUCGGGCCUGCAGUCGAUACGGGCAGACUAGAGUUCGGUAGGGGAGACUGGAAUUCCUGGUGUAGCGGUGAGAUGCGCAGAUAUCAGGAGGAACACCGGUGGCGAAGGCGGGUCUCUGGGCCGAUACUGACGCUGAGGAGCGAAAGCGUGGGGAGCGAACAGG